UACGUAGGGUGCAAGCGUUAAUCGGAAUUACUGGGCGUAAAGCGUGCGCAGGCGGCUUUGCAAGACAGAUGUGAAAUCCCCGGGCUUAACCUGGGAACUGCAUUUGUGACUGCAUGGCUAGAGUGCGGCAGAGGGGGAUGGAAUUCCGCGUGUAGCAGUGAAAUGCGUAGAUAUGCGGAGGAACACCGAUGGCGAAGGCAAUCCCCUGGGCCGAUACUGACGCUGAGGAGCGAAAGCGUGGGGAGCGAACAGG
rnacentral:rRNA from 1 species